AGCUUUCUGAAUCCGUGUUGAGAUUUCGUCAAACACCAACCAAUUAGGGCUGACCAGACGUCCAAGAUAAGUGAAGUU
rfam:Schistosoma mansoni strain Puerto Rico chromosome W, complete genome